GCCUGGGUGGCUUAGUCAGUUAAGCGUCUGACUUUGGCUCAGGUCAUGAUCUCACUGCUUGUGAGUUCGAGCCCCACUUUGGGCU
rnacentral:tRNA from 1 species